rnacentral:rRNA from 1 species
GAUCCUGGCUCAGGAUGAACGCUAGCUACAGGCUUAACACAUGCAAGUCGAGGGGCAGCAUGGUCUUAGCUUGCUAAGGCCGAUGGCGACCGGCGCACGGGUGAGUAACACGUAUCCAACCUGCCGUCUACUCUUGGGCAGCCUUCUGAAAGGAAGAUUAAUACAAGAUGGCAUCAUGGGUUCACAUGUUCACAUGAUUAAAGGUAUUCCGGUAGACGAUGGGGAUGCG